rnacentral:rRNA from 1 species
ACAUACGACCACAGGGUGUGGAGAACAGGGCUUCCCGUUCGCUCAGCCGUACUUAAGCCACACGCCGGUGAGUUAGUAGUUGGGUGGGUGACCACCAGCGAAUCCUCACUGUUGU